rnacentral:rRNA from 1 species
UACGGGGGGGGGCAAGCGUUGUUCGGAAUUACUGGGCGUAAAGGGCGCGUAGGCGGUCCUGAUCGUCGGAUGUGAAAGGCCUGGGCUCAACCUGGGAACUGCAUCCGAUACGGCGGGACUGGAGUGUGGGAGAGGUUGGUGGAAUUCCCAGUGUAGAGGUGAAAUUCGUAGAUAUUGGGAAGAACACCGGUGGCGAAGGCGGCCAACUGGACCACAACUGACGCUGAGGCGCGAAAGCGUGGGGAGCAAACAGG